AUUGAACGCUGGCGGCAUGCUUUACACAUGCAAGUCGAACGGCAGCGCGGGCUUCGGCCUGGCGGCGAGUGGCGAACGGGUGAGUAAUGCAUUGGAACGUGCCCAGUAGUGGGGGAUAGCCCGGCGAAAGCCGGAUUAAUACCGCAUACGACCUGAGGGUGAAAGCGGGGGACCGAAAGGCCUCGCGCUAUUGGAGCGGCCGAUGUCGGAUUAGCUAGUUGGUGGGGUAAAGGCUUACCAAGGCGACGAUCCGUAGCUGGUCUGAGAGGACGACCAGCCACACUGGGACUGAGACACGGCCCAGACUCCUACGGGAGGCAGCAGUGGGGAAUUUUGGACAAUGGGGGCAACCCUGAUCCAGCCGUGCCGCGUGCGGGAAGAAGGCCUUCGGGUUGUAAACCGCUUUUGUUCGGGAAGAAAUCCUCUGGGCUAAUACCCCGGGGGGAUGACGGUACCGGAAGAAUAAGCACCGGCUAACUACGUG
rnacentral:rRNA from 1 species